UGCGUCUCCUCCAUUGCCCAGCAGCAUUCACAGUUGGACCUCUCUCCUGACCUGAAAAAGGAGCAGAAUUAGUCUGACCUUCACAAUGAAGCUUGUCACAGUCCUCUGCCUCUUCUCCUUUAUCCUAUGUGUCAACAGUAAUAAAACUGCUCUACGAACUCCAACUGAAAAUUUGGAAAUGAUUGAAAAAGGUGUUGGUGGACUGUGCUUGACUUACUGUGAAAUGGUGGAAGCUGGAGAAGCAAAAAAUGACAGUUUCUCAUUUUGGAAGGAUAUGAGACGCUAACCAGGACACCUUGAACAUCACUAAUCUCUUUAGGAGUCAAUGACCCCAAUAGACAAAGAGCUCAACAGAUUGGAUCAAUUUUUAAUCUGCCUUUUCCUUCUUGUUCCCUCUUCCAUGUACUCUAUGAGCCCCAUCAAAGUAAUACUGUCAUUUCUUUAUCCUGAUGAUUCAGGGUGGUAGAUGCUAAUAUGUAUGAUCUUAAUAAAUAUGAACUUGAAAUUUCCUGACUCUCUUUGCAAUCAUAUUAAAAUCAAGUAACUUGUGCCUCUUUGACCAUGACUUUGCCUCCUAAAG